AAGCCAUGAUGAGGGCAUGAGCAGAGAGGCUUGAAACGCUCCCAUGCUUCACAGAAGCUUUCACCAGUCUUCUGUGAGAAACCAUAAAUCUCAUUUUUGAGUCU
rnacentral:snoRNA from 1 species